rnacentral:rRNA from 1 species
GUGGCGGACGGGUGAGUAACGCGUAAGAAUCUAACUUCAGGACGGGGACAACAGUUGGAAACGACUGCUAAUACCCGAUAUGCCGCAAGGUGAAACCUAAUUGGCCUGGAGAAGAGCUUGCGUCUGAUUAGCUAGUUGGUGGGGUAAGAGCCUACCAAGGCGACGAUCAGUAGCUGGUCUGAGAGGAUGAGCAGCCACACCGGGACUGAGACACGGCCCAGACUCCUACGGGAGGCAGCAGUGGGGAAUAUUGGACAAUGGGGGCAACCCUGAUCCAGCGACGCCGCGUGUGUGAAGAAGGCCUGCGGGUUGUAAAGCACUUUUAGUGGGGGGGAAAACACCUGUCCUAAUACGGCAGGGAUUGACUUAACCCAAAGAAAAAGCACCGGCUAACUCUGUGCCAGCAGCCGCGGUAAUACAGAGGGUGCAAGCGUUAAUCGGAAUUACUGGGCGUAAAGCGUGCGUAGACGGUUGUCUAAGUCGGAUGUGAAAUCCCCGGGCUCAACCUGGGAAUUGCAUUCGAGACUGAACAGCUAGGGUGCGGAAGAGGGAAGCGGAAUUUCCGGUGUAGCGGUGAAAUGCGUAGAUAUCGGAAGGAACAUCAGUGGCGAAAGCGGCUUCCUGGUCCAGCACCGACGUUCAGGCACGAAAGCGUGGGGAGCAAACAGGAUUAGAUACCCCUGUAGUCCUAGCCGUAAACGAUGGAUACUAGGCGUGGCUUGUAUCGACCCGAGCCGUGCCGAAGCUAACGCGUUAAGUAUCCCGCCUGGGGAGUACGCACGCAAGUGUGAAACUCAAAGGAAUUGACGGGGGCCCGCACAAGCGGUGGAGUAUGUGGUUUAAUUCGAUGCAACGCGAAGAACCUUACCAAGACUUGAC